GCCACCUUAGCUCAGCUGGCUAGAGCAACAGUUUUGUAAACUGUGGGUCGUCGGUUCGAGUCCGACAGGUGGCUCCA
rnacentral:tRNA from 1 species